rnacentral:misc_RNA from 1 species
GGAAUAAAAGUCGUAACAAGGUUUCCGUAGGUGAACCUGCGGAAGGAUCAUUAUUGUAUAACCGAGGUGCGAGGGCUGUCGCUGACCCGAAAGGUCGUGCACGCCCGAGUGCCCUCACACAUCCAUCUCACCCCUAUGUGCACCACCGCGUGGGUCCCCCUUUGGCUUGUUCGGAGGGGGGCUUACGUUUUCACACAAACUUUGUAUGCAGUGUAGAAUGUAUUUUUUGUUUUUGCGAUCACGCAAUCAAUACAACUUUCAACAACGGAUCUCUUGGCUCUC